UCCAGCUGAAAUUUUGAAGAAAAUAAGCGUAACCUCCCUUGGACGAUGUGUUAUGUCGUCGGCACAGCAGAAGUAUGUCGAAAGCAGUAGCUUCAGCUCGUCGAAGAAUGCAACAAUAUCCUCAAGCAUUUUUACAGUGUACAGGACCGGCAGCAGCUUAUGGAAAGUGCGUCGCUGUCAAAGACAAUGUCACGAAGCAUAUAUGUGACAAGGAGUUUAGAGCUUUAAAGGACUGCAUUGAAAAAGCGAUGCAGAAAACAAAGUAACUGACACAACCCAGAAGAUACUGUACAGUUGUUAUAAGCUUUUAAUAGCAUAAAUAAAAUAUUGACAGUUUAGAAUCAUAUCUUUUCCAUGUGUCAUAAAGAUGUUUAUUAUGGUGAAAGUGUUGCUUAUGGGACUAAUAUAAAGCCUAUAGAAAGGUGAUAAUUUAUCAGUUUACUGUUGGGAAUGCUUGUCCCCUUGUCAUACAAGAAUAAGUUGAAUGUUAACUCACAAUGUUUUGUAAAUUGUGUUUAAAGUGGGCAAAUGUGCAUGCAUGCACUGAGGCUGCAUUUGGUGGCAAUCAUUACAAGGAAAAGCAUCUACAAUGUUCUUGUUUUUGCAAAUAGCUACCUCUCUUCCCAUGCUGAGUACAGAGUGUUGCUUUAGGUCAGUAUUGUUAUAGAUUUUUUUUAAUGAGUUUGAAGGUGAUUUUAGCUUGUGCGUUUAUGAAUGACUAGUAAAUUUCCACCAGUCUUGUACAGUGUUUGAUUUGGCAAUAUCUUGUGGAUGUGCUCAUUUUUUUAUACUUUCUGUAGUGUGUGCAUGCACACGUAGUGAUCAUUGAAUAUGUGUGUUUAGAUGGGUGGUAGUAAGUCUAGUUGAUACUGUUCAACAAUCAUUUGCUGUCAUAACAAGUAACGGGAGCAAAGCAACUUAAACAAUUGGUAACAAAUCAUGAAAUCCAAAAAUGGAAUCUAAGCAAAUAGCAAAAGUCAAAUCACAAUUUGUAUUACUGGACAGCUUGCAGACAAUUUUUUUUCAAUUUAUUACCAAAAUGAGGCUAUACAGCAAACAGCUUAAGGCUUAGCGAACAAUGACAAUGGCUAUCAGCAGAGUCUGAGAGAGUAGCUACAAUAUGUAAACAAUCAAGAGGUGACCCAUACUACAUGGUAGGAUGUCACUGUGGAGUGUCAAAUGUUUCGGUUUAAUUUUUUUUUUUUUGCUUCCGCAGGCAAGUAUACUGAAAGAGCAAAGCAAGUGGCUCUCAUUUAUGCUAUAGGCCUUUCAGGCAAAAGUUUCAAUCAAAUGCAGCAUGCGAACAUUUCAGUGAUUGAAUUUAGAUCUCCAUGUUUAUGUGCGUUUCAUGCUAUUCAUCAUUCAUUAAGAAAGCUUUCAGACUAAUGAAGCAGAUUAUUUUGUGUUAUAAAUAGGCAAGGGUUCGGUAAACAGUGCAACAAAGCAAUGCAUUUACGGUAAUUAUAUUACUGACAUCAAAAGUCUCGUUAAAUUCCAUCUUCAGAGAAGUUGGCGGAGAAGUUGGCAUGAUGCUAAACGUUGGUGGCGGCAGACAGUCAUCAGACCACCCAUGCACGUCCAUGGGCGAAUGCGUGACGUGUAAGGGCGACGGCUUACGUUGUCAUGGCGACGACUUGCUUUGUCAUGGCGACGGAUUACGCUGUCAUGGCUGCAGUGGAGGGAGAAAGCUGGGCGAGUAUGUUGAUCAGGCCUACUCAUGUUCAAACAAGGAGUCGCUCCUUUUGUGUGCUCUGGUAACAGUAUCGGUGUGUGAGAGCUUCUAUGGAAUAAAGGUAAUCAUUCAGACUGAGCUUUUAGUAGAUAAGAAAAAUUCAGGACAGGUUGAAUCAAGUUGUACACAUCUCAAAGAUCGCUGGGACGGCCCAGAAUGAUCUUCUGCCUCUUUGUAACUGGCAGGGACUGUCUGAAGUCAUCACGAUCCUGCGAAAUGAUAGAUAUGUCCUAUCGGGAGAGUCAGCUCCCCAUUCCGUGUACCUGUAUGCAGGAGCAGCUGGUUGAGAAUGCCCUGUGGUGUUUCGGCCCAGAGAUUUCUAAACGCUGGGGUGUGGCCUGUGUGGGUGUGUGAGUGUGUGAUGGUAUGCGGGUCUGAAUUGUGAUAACACGGGGAUCUGGCUGGUGUGACAUGUAUGAAUAUGCGAUGGUAUUGUUGGCGUUGUUUUAUAUGCUUCUUAAACUCUUAUAGAAGUAUUGCUUAAAUUACUUUCUUGGGUAAAUAAAGUACAUUUGUUUUUAAAAGCCCAUUAAAAUUCCUUAAUAAUAAUUGGUGAGCUCGUGUUGCGCAGCACCCCAGCCAUAGCCAGGCUCGCCGCGCUUGACAAACACAAGAAAAUAAAGGAAUCCUGGGGCUUUUUCGUUGAAGUUAGCGGAAGACUUGAGUUGUUGCGUUGCUGGUGGAAUCUUUAAAGACAAACAUUGUGAUUUGGUAAAGUUCAACUUUACAGGUCGCACAGUCUUGUAGAGAACGUAGAAUAGGUUAAUAUUUCAUAGUAGCAACGACAUGUGCAAACAACUGUCAUGGCAUCAGGUACAACAGAGUAGCAGCCUAUGGAAAAUUCUGAAAGUCGAUGAAUGAACGUUGUCGUUGCUUUACUGGUGUACAUCUUGAUAGGCCAAGACUGUGAUCAGUUACAUAAUUUUUAAAUACUUUUUUAGAUGAAGAAUAAAAUUUGAGGAAAAAGGCAGGAGCUUGUG